UACGUAGGCAGCGAGCGUUGUUCGGAGUUACUGGGCGUAAAGGGUGUGUAGGCGGUUUUUUAAGUUUGGUGUGAAAUCUCCCGGCUUAACUGGGAGGGUGCGCCGAAGACUGAAGAGCUAGAGUGCGGGAGAGGAGAGUGGAAUUCCUGGUGUAGCGGUGAAAUGCGUAGAUAUCAGGAGGAACACCGGCGGUGUAAACGGCUCUCUGGACCGCGACUGACGCUGAGACACGAAAGCGUGGGGAGCAAACAGG
rnacentral:rRNA from 1 species